AGAUUGAACGCUGGCGGCAGGCCUAACACAUGCAAGUCGAGCGGUAGAGAGGUGCUUGCAUCCCUUGAGAGCGGCGGACGGGUGAGUAAUGCCCAGGAAUCUGCCUAGUGGUGGGGGAUAACGUUCGGAAACGGACGCUAAUACCGCAAUACGUCCUACGGGAGAAAGCGGGGGACCUUCGGGCCUCGCGCCGAUUAGAUGAGCCUAGGUCGGAUUAGGCUAGGUUGGUGAGGUAAUGGCUCGACCGAAGGCGACGAUCCCGUAACUGGUCUGAGAGGUAUGAUCAGUCACACGUGGAACUGACGACACGGUCCAGACCUCCGUACGGGAGCGAGCGAGUGGGGAAUGUAGGACAAGU
rnacentral:rRNA from 1 species